rnacentral:rRNA from 1 species
UACGGAGGAUGCAAGCGUUAUCCGGAAUUAUUGGGCGUAAAGCGUCCGCAGGUGGCACUUCAAGUCUGUCGUCAAAGACCGGGGCUUAACCCUGGAAAGGCGAUGGAAACUGAAAGGCUAGAGAGAGGUAGGGGUAGAGGGAAUUCCCAGUGUAGCGGUGAAAUGCGUAGAGAUUGGGAAGAACAUCGGUGGCGAAAGCGCUCUGCUGGACUGCAACUGACACUCAGGGACGAAAACUAGGGGAGCGAAUGGG